rnacentral:rRNA from 1 species
GACGAACGCUGGCGGCGUGCUUAACACAUGCAAGUCGAACGGAAAGGCCUUUUCGGAGGUACUCGAGUGGCGAACGGGUGCGUAACACGUGGGUGAUCUGCCCUGCACUCUGGGAUAAGCCUGGGAAACUGGGUCUAAUACCGGAUAGGACCGCACUUUAGUGUGUGUGGUGGAAAGUUUUUUCGGUGUAGGAUGAGCCCGCGGCCUAUCAGCUUGUUGGUGGGGUAAUGGCCUACCAAGGCGGCGACGGGUAGCCGGACUGAGAGGUUGGUCGGCCACAUUGGGACUGAGAUACGGCCCAGACUCCUACGGGAGGCAGCAGUGGGGAAUAUUGCACAAUGGGCGCAAGCCUGAUGCAGCGACGCCGCGGGGGGGAGGACGGCCUUCGGGUUGUAAACUCCUUUCGCCAGGGACGAAGCGUUUUGUGACGGUACCUGGAGAAGAAGCACCGGCUAACUACGUG